rnacentral:rRNA from 1 species
AGUGAACGCUGGCGGUAGGCCUAACACAUGCCAGUCGAACGGCAGCACAGUAAGAGCUUGCUCUUACGGGUGGCGAGUGGCGGACGGGUGAGGAAUACAUCGGAAUCUACUUUUUCGUGGGGGAUAACGUAGGGAAACUUACGCUAAUACCGCAUACGACCUACGGGUGAAGGCAGGGGAUCUUCGGACCUUGCGCGAUUGAAUGAGCCGAUGUCGGAUUAGCUAGUUGGCGGGGUAAAGGCCCACCAAGGCGACGAUCCGUAGCUGGUCUGAGAGGAUGAUCAGCCACACUGGAACUGAGACACGGUCCAGACUCCUACGGGAGGCAGCAGUGGGGAAUAUUGGACAAUGGGCGCAAGCCUGAUCCAGCCAUACCGCGUGGGUGAAGAAGGCCUUCGGGUUGUAAAGCCCUUUUGUUGGGGAAGAAAAGCAGCAGGUUAAUACCCCGCUGUUCUGACGGUACCCAAAGAAUAAGCACCGGCUAACUUCGUG